rnacentral:rRNA from 1 species
GACGAACGCUGGCGGCGUGCUUAACACAUGCAAGUCGAACGGAAAGGCCCUGCUUGCAGGGUACUCGAGUGGCGAACGGGUGAGUAACACGUGGGUGAUCUGCCCUGCACUUCGGGAUAAGCUUGGGAAACUGGGUCUAAUACCGGAUAGGAACCAUCUUUAGUGUGGUGGUUGGAAAGUUUUUUCGGUGUAGGAUGAGCUCGCGGCCUAUCAGCUUGUUGGUGGGGUAAUGGCCUACCAAGGCGGCGACGGGUAGCCGGCCUGAGAGGGUGUACGGCCACCUUGGGACUGAGAUACGGCCCAGACUCCUACGGGUGGCAGCAGUGGGGAAUAUUGCACAAUGGGCGCAAGCCUGAUGCAGCGACGCCGCGUGGGGGAUGAAGGCCUUCGGGUUGUAAACUCCUUUCGCUAGGGACGAAGCUUUUUGUGACGGUACCUAGAGAAGAAGCACCGGCUAACUACGUG